rnacentral:lncRNA from 10 species
UUUCAUUGUAUAAGAAUAUUUUAUGGUGAUAGAGGCGAGAGAAACUCUAGGCAAAUGGGCAGGUUCGCCCCACCUUCAAGCUGAAAAGCCUGAAGCCCAAGGGCCAAAGUGAGAACUUCUGUCCCUGUUUGCCCUCUCUCUCCUGAUUGGUUCUUUCUGAAUAAUUUUUUUUUUUUUUUGAGAUGGAGUCUUGUUCUGUCACCAAGGCUGGAGUGCAUUGUCACAAUCUCAGUUCACUGAAACCUCUACCUCCCGGAUUCAAGCAAUUCUCCUGCCUCAGCCUCCUGAGUAUCUGGGACUACAAGUGCACGUCACCACAUCUAGCUAAUUUUUUGUAUUUUUAGUAGAGACAGGGUUUCACCAUGUUGGCCAGGCUGCACUUGAACUCCUGGCCUCAGGUGAUCUGCCUGCCUCAGCUUCCCAAAGUCCUGGGAUUACAGGCAUGAGUCACCCCACGCCCUGCCCCACAUCCUGUGCCUACAAAGAUCUGCAACUCAGCUGGUAGAGAUGAGAAGCAGCUGGACAUCAAGGAGAGGCAACUUGACUUCAGGGACAAUGGCUGGAUGUUGGAGAGAGGCAAUUUGACUUUGGAGGAGAGAAGCAGACAGACAACUUGACUUCAGGAGAGAGCAACCUGCACUUCCCAUCCGCUUUCCAGCUCCCCUUUCCACUGAGAGCUGCUUUCAUCACUCAAUAAAGUUUUCUGCAUUCACCGUCCUUCAAUUCAUCCACAUGACCUCAUUCUUCUUGGGCACCAGACAAGAAUUCAGAACCACCAAAUGCGGAUACUCAAAAAGGCUGUCACACUGGCCCUUUGCCCUUGCUGGUGGAGGACAGCCACCCCACGCAAUGAGGAAAAAGGCUUACUGAGCUGAUAACACUCUGCUGUUUGUGGACGGCAGAGCUAAAAGAGCAUUGUAAUACACCUCUGGGGCCUUAGGGUCACCCCCACCCGGACGUCACCGCAGGGCCUACACAGAGUUUGCGUCUGCUGUUGCCAAAGCAGCCAGCUGGUUCCUGCGCUCCAUUACCUACGUGCUCCCUUCGGCGGGGGUGGAGCAUGGUGGACUGAGUAAAUGGGGCAUCCCUGUCAUGAGUCCCAUAAAGCGUUCAAGAAAAUAUCCUACAUCAAUGGGAUACUGGAACAUAGUUAAAAACUAAGGAAAUCUAAAUAAAUUAUGAACUCGAGUUAAAAACAAGAGCGUUUGUACUUGGUCUCCGUACUAUCUAUAUUAAUGAAAUGAAAUGCUGAUCCUGCUGUUGUUUCCCAAAUUUUCCGUAAAAUGGCAUAGUUUUUCUUUUCUGGAGACUUUUGGAAGCUUGCAGUAAAGGAAAACAAUGGCCUAACCAAUGGCCUAGUUUGCGUGCCAGAGACCCAUGAUCUCCUGACAACUCUCCUGUUCAGCUUCUCAGGUUCACCGUGAGGCCUCUAUAAGGAAAGAUGGAUUAAAGAAAAGGAUAGACUUAUUUAACACACGUUUUAUGUGACACGGGAACCUUCAUACGGAAAUGAAGACCUGAAGAAACAGCUGUUUCCUUUACUGCCUGAGCUGUUUGGUCAUGUCUGAACUGCUGCUGAUGAAGCCUUUUCUGGCAGGUUGCCCGGGGAGCAGCUCUCCUGUAGAUUCCGCCUCUCUCCAGGAGUUGCCUGCCUUCAGUAUAAUGGGCAACAUUGAAAGCAGCAAGGCGUUCGGUCGACAAGGUCAGAGUGCCUUUCAUUCCUGCAAUAAUCAACCAGUGUAGCUCUUCCUCAGACCUGGGGAGAGAGAAGAUAGAGGUCAAAAGAGCAAUUACAUUUCACAUUGACUCCAGAAAAGGCCUGGAUCACAAGACUGAAAAGAAAAACGGAUUCUAGCCUCAUUCUUAUCCAUUCCUUUUCUGGCCAUUUUUGUUAUUAACACUGCCCUGAAACCAUAACAAGUUUUAGCUUGAUGACGUGAAAAACGCAUUUUCUGCCUGCAGAUGAGAUCUUUCUUCUUAGACAUUUAGCACUGUCAGCAUAUUGCAAAAGAAUGCAAAUGAGCUGCAGGAUCUAUAACCAGAGACAGUAAGCAAAGGCCAUUAAUUAUGUUUUUAAAAAAUGUUAACCCUAGCAGACUGUAUAACAAGCAAUUGUGCUAAUUUCAAUCUGUAAUCAGUCCCAACAUUAGCAUAACUUUAUUUAUUUAGCAUUAAGGCAACAAUUUAGAGAAUAUAAUUUAGUUGGAAAUGUCAGUAAUUUUGCAGUGGCAGAUUGUUGUUACAAAGCUACCUCUAUUUGACCUUACAGCUGCCAGGACUAAUUACUUUAAUUGCAUUAAUUGCACUGACCAUUCUGGUGUUUAAUGUAGUUGCUGUUACUCUUUAACCAUUGAGCAGAUCAGCCUGGCUGAAUUCUCAGUAAAAUGGGCCAAUGCUCCUUUCUAAAUCUCCUUUGAUUCUUUUCUGCAUUUUGAGAGCCCAGAUAAUUCACAGAUUGCUAGUGUUCUCACUGAGACCAUGAAUUCUGAGGAGAGCUCUUGAAGGAAAUAAAAAUCUGUACUAUAUUACUGUAUUUCCUAAUGGAUUCUUAUUGCUCACUGCUGACUCGAUUAAAGUACAAUUAGUUCACUAAUGACAAAGAAAUGUGUAAGAAAUGUUUGUGUCAGUUUCAACAGUAGAUUAAAACUCCUUUAUUUCACAUUUUGGAAUGAAUUCCUAUGAACAAGUCUGUAUUCUUAUUUCUGCCUUAUAGACUGAACCCAUAGCUUUCCCUAGGAUUGGACUCAACACAAAUUGAAAUACACAGCUAUGUCCUAAUUUAAGAUCUAUGGCUUUGGGAAUCUAUAAAAUAGAUAUUUCCUCCUGACAAGGAAAGUUUCACAGGACAUUUAAUAAAUACUUUACUACCAGUGAUACAUCUAUUAGUCAAAAUGAAG